rnacentral:siRNA from 1 species
CCGCCAAUAGCUGGAUUACGAUA